rnacentral:rRNA from 1 species
AAUCAACGCUGGCGGCGUGCCUCAGACAUGCAAGUCGAACGAUUAAACUUUCCUUCGGGAAAGAUAUAAAGUGGCGCACGGGUGAGUAACACGUAAGUAAUCUACCUUCGGAUGGGGAAUAACAGUCGGAAACGACUGCUAAUACCGCACAAUGCAGCGGCACCUAAUGGUGACAGUUGUUAAAGUAUUUAUACGUCUGGAGAGGAGCUUGCGGCAGAUUAGCUAGUUGGUAAGGAAUGGCUUACCAAGGCUACGAUCUGUAGCCGACCUGAGAGGGUGGUCGGUCACACUGACACUGAAUAACGGGUCAGACUCCUACGGGAGGCAGCAGUCGGGAAUUUUGGGCAAUGGGCGAAAGCCUGACCCAGCAACGCCGCGUGAAGGAUGAAGUCUUUCGGGAUGUAAACUU